AGCGAACGUUAGCGGCGGGCCUAACACAUGCAAGUCGAGCGAGAAAGUGGCUUCGGCCAUCAGUAAAGCGGCGGACGGGUGAGUAACACGUAGGUAAUCUUCCUUCGGGCGGGGGACAACGUUCCGAAAGGGACGCUAAUACCGCAUACGUUCCCAGAGACCUUGGUCUUUGGGAGGAAAGCUAGGUAGCAAUAUCCAGCACUCGAUGAGGAGCCUGCGUCGCAUCAGCUAGUUGGUGGGGAACGCCUACCAAGGCGAAGACGCGUAGCUGGUCUGAGAGGAUGAUCAGCCACACUGGGACUGAGACACGGCCCAGACUCCUACGGGAGGCAGCAGUGGGGAAUAUUGGACAAUGGGCGCAAGCCUGAUCCAGCCACGCCGCGUGAGUGAUGAAGGCC
rnacentral:rRNA from 1 species